UACAACUCUGAGCGGUGGAUCACUCGGCUCGUGUGUCGAUGAAGAGCGCAGCCAACUGUGUGAAUUAAUGUAAACUGCAUACUGCUUUGAACAUCGACAYUUC
rnacentral:rRNA from 1 species